CGGACAGUGUCUGGUGGGUAGUUUGACUGGGGCGGUCUCCUCCUAAAGAGUAACGGAGGAGCACGAAGGUUGGCUAAUCCUGGUCGGACAUCAGGAGGUUAGUGCAAUGGCAUAAGCCAGCUUGACUGCGAGCGUGACGGCGCGAGCAGGUGCGAAAGCAGGUCAUAGUGAUCCGGUGGUUCUGAAUGGAAGGGCCAUCGCUCAACGGAUAAAAGGUACUCCGGGGAUAACAGGCUGAUACCGCCCAAGAGUUCAUAUCGACGGCGGUGUUUGGCACCUCGAUGUCGGCUCAUCACAUCCUGGGGCUGAAGUAGGUCCCAAGGGUAUGGCUGUUCGCCAUUUAAAGUGGUACGCGAGCUGGGUUUAGAACGUCGUGAGACAGUUCGGUCCCUAUCUGCCAUGGGCGCUGGAGAACUGAGGGGGGCUGCUCCUAGUACGAGAGGACCGGAGUGGACGCAUCACUGGUGUUCGGGUUGUCAUGCCAAUGGCACUGCCCGGUAGCUAAAUGCGGAAGAGAUAAGUGCUGAAAGCAUCUAAGCACGAAACUUGCCCCGAGAUGAGUUCUCCCUGAGACUUAGAGUCUCCUGAAGGAACGUUGAAGACGACGACGUUGAUAGGCCGGGUGUGUAAGCGCAGCGAUGCGUUGAGCUAACCGGUACUAAUGAACCGUGAGGCUUAACCUUACAACGCCGAAG
rnacentral:rRNA from 1 species